UACGUAGGGGGCAAGCGUUGUCCGGAUUCAUUGGGCGUAAAGAGCUCGUAGGCGGUUCAGUAAGUCGGGUGUGAAAUCUCCGUGCUCAACACGGAGCGGCCACCUGAUACUGCUGUGACUCGAGUCCGGUAGGGGAGUGUAGAAUUCCCGGUGUAGCGGUGAAAUGCGCAGAUAUCGGGGAGGAACACCAGUAGCGAAGGGCGGCACUCUGGGCCGUGACUGACGC
rnacentral:rRNA from 1 species